GACGAACGCUGGCGGCGCGCCUAACACAUGCAAGUCGAGCGAUGAAAUUUUAACCGAUCUCUUCGGAGAGAAGAUAAAAUGGAUUAGCGGCGGACGGGUGAGUAACACGUGAGAAACCUGCCUUUCACAAGGGGAUAGCCUCGGGAAACCGGGAUUAAUACCCUAUGACACAUUUCCUUCGCAUGGAAGAAAUGUUAAAACUCCGGUGGUGAAAGAUGGUCUCGCGCCUGAUUAGCUAGUUGGUGGGGUAACGGCACACCAAGGCCAUGAUCAGUAACCGGCCUGAGAGGGUGGACGGUCACACUGGAGCGGGGACGCAGUCCAGACUCCUACGGGAGGCAGCAGUGGGGAAUAUUGCACAAUGGAGGAAGCUCUGAUGCAGCGAGGCCGCGUGAGCGAUGAAGGCUUUCAAGUCGUAAAGCUCUGUCCUAUGGGAAGAUAAUGACGGUACCAUAGGAGGAAGCCCCGGCUAACUACGUG
rnacentral:rRNA from 1 species